rnacentral:rRNA from 1 species
UACAGAGGGUGCGAGCGUUAAUCGGAAUUACUGGGCGUAAAGCGCACGUAGGCGGCUUGGUAUGUCGGGUGUGAAAUCCCCGGGCUCAACCUGGGAACUGCAUCCGAAACUGCCUUGCUCGAGUAUGGGAGAGGGAAGUGGAAUUUCCGGUGUAGCGGUGAAAUGCGUAGGUAUCGGGAGGAACACCAGUGGCGAAAGCGGCUACCUGGCCCAUUCUUGACGCUGAGGCGCGAAAGCUAGGGGAGCAAACGGG